rnacentral:rRNA from 1 species
AAUCUGAUGCUCGAUCUUACCGGAGCAUCCGCCCGAGAACUACGAGCACAAACGCUUAAAACUCUAAGGACUUGGCGGUGUUCCAAACCCACCUAGAGGAGCCUGUUCUGUAAUCGAUGAUCCACGAUACACCUGACCAUUUCUUGCCCAAACAGCCUAUAUACCGCCGUCGCCAGCCCACCCAGCAUGAAGGCCCAACAGUGGACGCAAUAGCCCUAACGCGCUAAUAAGACAGGUCAAGGUAUAGCCUAUGGAAUGGAAGCAAUGGGCUACAUUUUCUAAUCUAGAACAUAACGGCAAAGGGAUAUGAAACUGUCCCUGGAAGGCGGAUUUAGCAGUAAAGUGGGACAAUCGAGCCCUCUUUAAGCCGGCCCUGGAGCACGUACAUACCGCCCGUCACCCUCCUCAAAAGCGACCCC